UUUGUAAAGAAACUAUGCUAAAGAAUGAA
rnacentral:piRNA from 1 species